CAAGGUGGUAGGCUGAAAUCUUAGGUAAAUCCGGGGUUUCAAGGCCGAGAGCUGAUGACGAGUCGUCUUUUAGAUGACGAAGUGGUUGAUGCCAUGCUUCCAAGAAAAGCUUCUAAGCUUCAGGUAACCAGGAACCGUACCCCAAACCGACACAGGUGGUCGGGUAGAGAAUACCAAGGCGCUUGAGAGAACUCGGGUGAAGGAACUAGGCAAAAUGGCACCGUAACUUCGGGAGAAGGUGCGCCGGCUAGGGUGAAGGAUUUACUCCGUAAGCUCUGGCUGGUCGAAGAUACCAGGCCGCUGCGACUGUUUAUUAAAAACACAGCACUCUGCAAACACGAAAGUGGACGUAUAGGGUGUGACGCCUGCCCGGUGCCGGAAGGUUAAUUGAUGGGGUUAGCGCAAGCGAAGCUCUUGAUCGAAGCCCCGGUAAACGGCGGCCGUAACGAUAACGGUCCUAAGGUAGCGAAAUUCCUUGUCGGGUAAGUUCCGACCUGCACGAAUGGCGUAACGAUGGCGGCGCUGUCUCCACCCGAGACUCAGUGAAAUUGAAAUCGCUGUGAAGAUGCAGUGUAUCCGCGGCUAGACGGAAAGACCCCGUGAACCUUUACUGUAGCUUUGCACUGGACUUUGAGCCUGCUUGUGUAGGAUAGGUGGGAGGCUUUGAAGCGUGGACGCCAGUUCGCGUGGAGCCAUCCUUGAAAUACCACCCUGGCAUGCUUGAGGUUCUAACUCUGGUCCGUAAUCCGGACCGAGGACAGUGUAUGGUGGGCAGUUUGACUGGGGCGGUCUCCUCCUAAAGAGUAACGGAGGAGUACGAAGGUGCGCUCAGACCGGUCGGAAAUCGGUCGCAGAGUAUAAAGGCAAAAGCGCGCUUGACUGCGAGACAGACACGUCGAGCAGGUACGAAAGUAGGUCUUAGUGAUCCGGUGGUUCUGUAUGGAAGGGCCAUCGCUCAACGGAUAAAAGGUACUCCGGGGAUAACAGGCUGAUACCGCCCAAGAGUUCAUAUCGACGGCGGUGUUUGGCACCUCGAUGUCGGCUCAUCACAUCCUGGGGCUGAAGCCGGUCCCAAGGGUAUGGCUGUUCGCCAUUUAAAGUGGUACGCGAGCUGGGUUUAGAACGUCGUGAGACAGUUCGGUCCCUAUCUGCCGUGGACGUUUGAGAUUUGAGAGGGGCUGCUCCUAGUACGAGAGGACCGGAGUGGACGAACCUCUGGUGUUCCGGUUGUCACGCCAGUGGCAUUGCCGGGUAGCUAUGUUCGGAAAAGAUAACCGCUGAAAGCAUCUAAGCGGGAAACUUGCCUCAAGAUGAGAUCUCACUGGGAACUUGAUUCCCCAGAAGGGCCGUCGAAGACUACGACGUUGAUAGGCUGGGUGUGUAAGCGUUGUGAGGCGUUGAGCUAACCAGUACUAAUUGCCCGUGAGGC
rnacentral:rRNA from 1 species